UCCAGACUCCUACGGGAGGCAGCAGUGGGGAAUAUUGGGCAAUGGGCGCAAGCCUGACCCAGCAACGCCGCGUGAAGGAAGAAGGCUUUCGGGUUGUAAACUUCUUUUAAGGGGGAAGAGUAGAAGACGGUACCUCUUGAAUAAGCCACGGCUAACUACGUGCCAGCAGCCGCGGUAAUACGUAGGUGGCAAGCGUUGUCCGGAUUUACUGGGUGUAAAGGGCGUGUAGCCGGGCCGGCAAGUCAGAUGUGAAAUCCCAAGGCUCAACCUUGGAACUGCAUUUGAAACUGUGUGGCUGGAGUGUCGGAGAGGCAGGCGGAAUUCCUAGUGUAGCGGUGAAAUGCGUAGAUAUUAGGAGGAACACCAGUGGCGAAGGCGGCCUGCUGGGCGAUGACUGACGUUGAGGCUCGAAAGCGUGGGGAGCAAACAGGAUUAGAUACCCCUGUAU
rnacentral:rRNA from 1 species